UACGUAGGGACCAAGCGUUGUUCGGAUUUACUGGGCGUAAAGGGCGCGUAGGCGGCAAUUCAAGUCACUUGUGAAAUCUCUGAGCUUAACUCAGAACGGUCAAGUGAUACUGCUUUGCUAGAGUGCAGAAGGGGCAACCGGAAUUCUUGGUGUAGCGGUGAAAUGCGUAGAUAUGCGGAGGAACACCGAUGGCGAAGGCAAUCCCCUGGGCCUGCACUGACGCUCAUGCACGAAAGCGUGGGGGAGCAAACAGG
rnacentral:rRNA from 1 species